rnacentral:rRNA from 1 species
GAUGAACGCUGGCGGCGUGCCUAAUACAUGCAAGUCGAGCGAACAGACGAUGAGCUUGCUCCUCUGACGUUAGCGGCGGACGGGUGAGUAACACGUGGAUAACCUACCUAUAUGACUGGGAUAACUUCGGGAAACCGGAGCCAAUACCGGAUAAUAUAUUGAACCGCAUGGUUCAAUAGUGAAAGACGGUUUUGCUGUCACUUAUAGAUGGAUCCGCGCCGCAUUAGCUAGUUGGUAAGGUAACGGCUUACCAAGGCAACGAUGCGUAGCUGACCUGAGAGGGUGAUCGGCCACACUGGAACUGAGACACGGUCCAGACUCCUACGGGAGGCAGCAGUAGGGAAUCUUCGGCAAUGGGCGAAAGCCUGACGGAGCAACGCCGCGUGAGUGAUGAAGGUCUUCGGAUCGUAAAACUCUGUUAUUAGGGAAGAACAAAUGUGUAAGUAACUAUGCACGUCUUGACGGUACCUAAUCAGAAAGCCACGGCUAACUACGUG